UAUUUUAUAAUUUCUUUUGCAGUACCACUCGAAUAUAAAUAAAAUUAUGGCUGCUUUCUAAUUUUGGAGCUACUGCUAGGAGUUUUCUAAUUAAGGUACUCAGGAUCAUCAACACACGCUCUAUUGAGAUCAUGCUUCAUCAACUUUUGGGUCAGUGAUGUUCCAUAGGUGAAGACGAAGAUGAUUCUUCAACAGCUUCUACUCUUCCUUCAUUGUGGUGGGAGCUAUGAACCGGUGUUGCUCCGCACUCUCUUCUCCAUGGCUAAGUUUUUUGUUGAAGGCUACUAACAGUUGGUGAAUUCCCAUAUAUUGGGAACAACAUUCCUAUCUUUCUAGCUUAUGCUUUGUAUAGAAAAUUGAGUUACUUUUGGUACUUUUGGAUGAUAUCUUGAGGGUGAGCUAGGGACAUGUCUUAGCCUCUGCCAAGUCUUUAAAGUAGAAGGUAUGGUUGGAAAAUAAUAUGUAUGAUCUUCAAAUGACUUGGAAUCUUAUUUUAUAUGGAAUCCCUUA